rnacentral:misc_RNA from 1 species
GAGUGAGGGCCUCGCGCCCGACCUCCAACCCUUUGUCGAUUAAUAUCUGUUGCCUCGGGGGGCGACCCGGACGUCCGCGGCCGGGAGUCCCCCAGAGGACCAAUCAACUCUGCAUCUUUGCGUCGAGUAUUGAAUACAAAUCAAUCAAAACUUUUAACAACGGAUCUCUUGGUUCU